UAGCGAAGGGGGCUAGCGUUGCUCGGAAUCACUGGGCGUAAAGGGUGCGUAGGCUGGGUUUUUAAGUCAGGGGUGAAAUCCUGGAGCUCAACUCCAGAACUGCCUUUGAUACUGAAGAUCUUGAGUUCGGGAGAGGUGAGUGGAACUGCGAGUGUAGAGGUGAAAUUCGUAGAUAUUCGCAAGAACACCAGUGGCGAAGGCGGCUCACUGGCCCGAUACUGACGCUGAGGCACGAAAGCGUGGGGAGCAAACAGG
rnacentral:rRNA from 1 species